rnacentral:rRNA from 1 species
GACGAACGCUGGCGGCGUGCUUAACACAUGCAAGUCGAGGGCGUGGAGCAAUCCACGACCGGCGAACGGGUGCGUAACACGUGAGCGACCUGCCCACUUGUGGGGGAUAGCCGGCCCAACGGCCGGGUAAUCCCGCAUACGCUUUCGGAGCUUCAUGGCUCUGAACGGAAAGCCGAAAGGCGCAGGUGGAGGGGCUCGCGGCCUAUCAGGUAGUUGGCGGGGUAAUGGCCCACCAAGCCGAUGACGGGUAGCUGGUCUGAGAGGAUGGCCAGCCACAUUGGGACUGAGAUACGGCCCAGACUCCUACGGGAGGCAGCAGUGGGGAAUCUUGCGCAAUGGUCGAAAGACUGACGCAGCGACGCCGCGUGAAGGAGGAAGCCCUUCGGGUGGUAAACUUACUGUUACCCGGGAAGAAACUCGGAUUUCGAUCCGACUGACGGUACCGGGGAAGGAAAGCACCGGCUAACCCUGUGCCAGCAGCCGCGGUAAUACAGAGGGUGCGAGCGUGUCGG